CGGUGGUGAACCAUCACUGAUUGUAGUGUCCUGUCUAUUUAUUCCAUCCUCUAUCCUUCUUCGAAACAAGAGAAUAAUCUAAGGUAGGUUAUCAUCAUCCUUGAAUAGCAUCUUGUAUUUGAAGAAAUGUCGAGCAGAAUGAUCAGAACUGAAAGUACUCUUCGUGUCCAGAAGAUCGAUUGGGAAAUGUCAAAUAUCCUUGUUGUCAAGAACACGGUUAUAGGAAAUGCUGAUAACCUACGCCAAAAGAAGCUAAAGACAUCUCAAUGUGCAACCUUUGUAAGGAUUUGAGUCACCACCAUAGGAAUGGGGGGAGUUGGAAAGAUAAUAGUCAUGCAAAAUUCAAGCCUCCACCAUGUAUUUAGCUAAGUUGUCGAAAGAUUAGAACCCAACAGUACCUUUAAAGUUAUGGAUCUGACAUUUCUAAUCUACAGACAACUCUUGCUCAUCUUAGAAGAUGUUUGGGAAAGAUCAGGUAUACUUAGCUAUGAGCUUUAAAAUCCAUGUAAAGAAAAGCUGCUCGUAUAACUGUUUAUAAACCCAAGCAAUACUAAAGUAUAGUUCAAAAGAAGGAAGGUAAUUCUUCCGUACAAAAAUGAAAUAACGAUCUAAGAUGAGACAGAACGCAUGGUGAGUUUGGGACAUUUUGGAGGAGAAAAAUGCAUGAUAUUGUUCGAGAUAAGAAAAUGCUUAAAGAUGUUUAUAUGUUGGAAAAAUGUUAUUAGAGGAGACAAGCAAACAUAUGCGAUGUGAUUCAAGA